rnacentral:rRNA from 1 species
CCUACGGGAGGCAGCAGUGAGGAAUAUUGGUCAAUGGGCGGAAGCCUGAACCAGCCAAGUAGCGUGCAGGAUGACGGCCCUACGGGUUGUAAACUUCUUUUAUACGGGAAUAACGCGCCUUACGUGUACGGCUUUGCAUGUACCGUAUGAAUAAGGACCGGCUAAUUCCGUGCCAGCAGCCGCGGUAAUACGGAAGGUCCGGGCGUUAUCCGGAUUUAUUGGGUUUAAAGGGAGCGUAGGCGGUAUGUCAAGUCUGUUGUGAAAUGUUCGGGCUCAACCCGGGACUUGCAGUUGGGACUGGCGUGCUUGAGUACAGGGAAGGCAGGCGGAAUUCGUGGUGUAGCGGUGAAAUGCUUAGAUAUGACGAAGAACCCCGAUUGCGAAGGCAGCUUGCUGCAGUGGAACUGACGCUGAUGCUCGAAAGCGCGGGUAUCGAACAGGAUUAGAUACCCGAGUAGUC